rnacentral:rRNA from 1 species
GGGCUCCUUCGGGAGCACCGGCGGACUGCUCAGUAACACGUGGACAACCUACCCUCGGGUGGGGGAUAACCUCGGGAAACUGAGGCUAAUACCCCAUAGGCCUCGGAUACUGGAAGGUUCCGAGACUGAAAGCUCCGGCGCCCGAGGAUGGGUCUGCGGCCUAUCAGGUAGUUGGUGGUGUAAAGGACCACCAAGCCUACGACGGGUACGGGCCCUGAGAGGGGGAGCCCGGAGAUGGACUCUGAGACACGAGUCCAGGCCCUACGGGGCGCAGCAGGCGCGAAACCUUCGCAAUGCGCGAAAGCGCGACGAGGGGAGCCCGAGUGCCCUUCCUUUCGGGAGGGCUUUUCUGGAGCCUAAAAAGCUCCAGGAAUAAGGGCUGGGCAAGACGGGUGCCAGCCGCCGCGGUAAUACCC